UGAUGAUGCACAAGCGGCCAUUUUGGAAGUUUUGGUACCUGACGUCAUCACACCUAGCCAGACCGCUGCGUGAAGUCACCUAAAUUAGCACUGUAGCCUGACGUCAAGCUAGUGUUCAUGUCAAUAGCAUCGCC
rnacentral:lncRNA from 1 species